AACGAACGCUGGCGGCAUGCCUAACACAUGCAAGUCGAACGAUGCUUUCGGGCAUAGUGGCGCACGGGUGCGUAACGCGUGGGAAUCUGCCCUUGGGUUCGGAAUAACAGUGAGAAAUUGCUGCUAAUACCGGAUGAUGUCUUCGGACCAAAGAUUCAUCGCCCAGGGAUGAGCCCGCGUAGGAUUAGCUAGUUGGUGGGGUAAUGGCCUACCAAGGCGACGAUCCUUAGCUGGUCUGAGAGGAUGAUCAGCCACACUGGGACUGAGACACGGCCCAGACUCCUACGGGAGGCAGCAGUGGGGAAUAUUGGACAAUGGGCGCAAGCCUGAUCCAGCAAUGCCGCGUGAGUGAUGAAGGCCUUAGGGUUGUAAAGCUCUUUUACCCGGGAUGAUAAUGACAGUACCGGGAGAAUAAGCUCCGGCUAACUCCGUG
rnacentral:rRNA from 1 species